rnacentral:rRNA from 1 species
CAGCCGCCGCGGUAAUACGUAGGGUGCAAGCGUUAAUCGGAAUUACUGGGCGUAAAGGGAGUGUAGGCGGUCUUUUAAGUCUGAUGUGAAAGCCCACGGCUCAACCGUGGAGGGUCAUUGGAAACUGGGAGACUUGAGUGCAGAAGAGGAGAGCGGAAUUCCAUGUGUAGCGGUGAAAUGCGUAGAUAUAUGGAGGAACACCAGUGGCGAAGGCGGCUUUUUGGCCUGUAACUGACACUGAGGCGCGAAAGCGUGGGGAGCAAACAGGAUUAGAUACCCGUGUAGUCCCUGUCUCUUAUAC